rnacentral:rRNA from 1 species
AUUGAACGCUGGCGGCAGGCCUAACACAUGCAAGUCGAACGGUAACAGGAAACAGCUUGCUGUUUCGCUGACGAGUGGCGGACGGGUGAGUAAUGUCUGGGAAACUGCCUGAUGGAGGGGGAUAACUACUGGAAACGGUAGCUAAUACCGCAUAACGUCGCAAGACCAAAGAGGGGGACCUUCGGGCCUCUUGCCAUCGGAUGUGCCCAGAUGGGAUUAGCUAGUAGGUGGGGUAACGGCUUACCUAGGCGACGAUCCCUAGCUGGUCUGAGAGGAGGACCAGCCCAACUGGAACGGAGACACGGUCCAGACUCCGACGGGGGGCAGCAGUGGGGAAUAUUGCACAAUGGGCGCAAGCCUGAUGCAGCCAUGCCGCGUGUAUGAAGAAGGCCUUCGGGUUGUAAAGUACUUUCAGCGGGGAGGAAGGGAGUAAAGUCAAUACCUUUGCUCAUUGACGUUACCCGCAGAAGAAGCACCGGCUAACUCCGUGCCAGCCGCCGCGGUAA